rnacentral:rRNA from 1 species
AGUGAACGCUGGCGGUAGGCCUAACACAUGCAAGUCGAACGGCAGCACAGUAAGAGCUUGCUCUUACGGGUGGCGAGUGGCGGACGGGUGAGGAAUACAUCGGAAUCUACUUUUUCGUGGGGGAUAACGUGGGGAAACUUACGCUAAUACCGCAUACGACCUACGGGUGAAAGCAGGGGAUCUUCGGACCUUGCGCGAUUGAAUGAGCCGAUGUCGGAUUAGCUAGUUGGCGGGGUAAAGGCCCACCAAGGCGACGAUCCGUAGCUGGUCUGAGAGGAUGAUCAGCCACACUGGAACUGAGACACGGUCCAGACUCCUACGGGAGGCAGCAGUGGGGAAUAUUGGACAAUGGGCGCAAGCCUGAUCCAGCCAUACCGCGUGGGUGAAGAAGGCCUUCGGGUUGUAAAGCCCUUUUGUUGGGAAAGAAAAGCAGCAGGUUAAUACCCCGCUGUCCUGACGGUACCCAAAGAAUAAGCACCGGCUAACUUCGUG